AUUUACUCUCUCUCUCACUCUGGCUCUCAGUGCCUAUGUCCAGACUGCUGCUUCAGACCUCACCGCCCCUUUCCAUUCAAACCAACUUUAAGCCAGACUUCUGAGUGUGUGAGCCAGCAUUUCAUCAACAGUCUGCUGUGCACUUUCAGGAGCCUCUUAAUUUGUUAAAGUUUCAGCUGGAGAAAAGUGACCAACAGUGACCAUGAUGAGGAUCAUACUACUGCUUCUGGUCACCCUGACGGGGCCUUUCUGUACCUUUACCCAAGCAAACAUGUGCUGAUACAGUGUUUCUCUCAUGUGGACCCAGUGCUGGGAAAAUGAUGUAAUGGUGCAAUGAGUGUAAUUCCGGUUUUGAGUACUCUGGUGGUGCCAACAGCUAUUGGUUCAACUCCACAACCAAAUCUUGCAUCAGAUUCACCUACUUUCACAUACACAACAGAGGUAACAUCUCCUCAAGAUGCUGUUUCAACGUCAGAGCCUGCUCCUGAGGUUACAGAAGCAGCUGCCACGACAGAAGAAGUGCCAAUGGUUUCCACAACAGCACCAGUGAUACAGUCAGAAGCCCCAUUCGAAACAACAGCCCUAACAGAUACAACACAAUCAACAGAAGCUGUACCUAUAGAGACAACCAGCCCUGAAGCCACUACUGUCUUUGCAGAAGCAGAAAUGCCUGAGAAAGUUGAAGACAUAGAAUCAAAGACUGCAGAUGAAGAGGUGGAGGAUGAAGGUAUGGGCACAGGACAGUUGGUGGGGAUCGUAAUCGGUGCAUUGAUCACAGUGAUUGUUGUCAUUGCUGUAAUCAUCUUGUUGGUCAGAAGAAUGGGCCAAUACUCCCCCUGAAAAGAAAGGCACGACAGGAAGAGAAAAAGAAGAAAUCCGGGAAGUUCUGAACUAUUGUUCUGAUGUUAAAAACAAUCCAAGCAGCACUCUCACCAUCCAUCCAGGACUGUACGGGGAGCAGGAGAGUGUCCCAUCCCCUUUCCCAUUGAAAAAGAUGCCCUCCCACAAAAACACCUUCCCAGUGCCCACAAGUUAUUUUAUUUAGCCUGAAAAACCUUAUUUAUCCCAAUAGUGGGAGGCCACAGGAAGUUACAGUAUCUUUUUUUAAUGCAUAUUAAUGUAACAGGAGAUUAAUGAAUGUUCAAUUUGUAAAGGGCCUAAUAAACAAAAACAAACAAACAGCUGCCCAUGCAAGCAAAAGCUUGUAUGUUUUUAUAUCAUACAGAAAAAAAAACUAAUCCAAAAUCAUUAUUCUUUUCCCAUUCUACAGAUGUGUCCAUUUGGACUAUGACGCAUUAUGAACAGUCUUUGAACUGUCAUAAGCAGAUGCUGAGGACACAUUCUGUUCUCAAGAUGUGUAACCGGCUUUAACUAAUAAAUAUUUUUUAAAUUAUUAGUUAAGGGGAGCAGCACACAAUAAGUGCUUGAGAUUUACUCAUUUGAAAGUGCACUAGUACAGAGUGACUUGACUGUGUUGUUCUUAACUGUCACCCAUUCCAAAAGUGACAUCAUUUCCUCUGGAACGCAUCAUUUAUUGUGUGUUCCAAUCCGCUUAGCUCCAGCGCACAGCUGCUAUUGGCAUGUAUCUCUAAAAUCCUGAUGUUCCUCAGCCUGGACUACAUCAUUUUAACAGCAUACUACAGACAUUUUGCAUGGUAUAGUUGAGUUGUUUGCAUUUCUUUUUGUCAGUGUUGAGGUUUGUGUUUCUUUCUGAUGUUCGAGAGCAUUGCUAUCCUGGGCUUUGCUUUAAGAGAUCAGUAUUAGGUGCACUGAAUGAUGAAGAAUAAAUGUUUAGUAUUGACAAGACACUGCAGUUGUUUGCAACGAUAUUUUGUGUUUCUUGCUUGCCAGAUUCCUCUUUAUUUCUCGUUACUCCAUGAUCUCAUUUUGCCAUUUGAUGUCAGAAUCCAGUUAAAGCCAAGAGUUUGACUUUGUGUUUUGGGGUUUUGUUUUACUUAUUGUUCAAUCAAUUUCAAUAAAAAAGUUCCAAAGUA
ensembl:lncRNA